GGAUGGUGGUUACAUCUAUUCUCAGGGAAAGAAGGAGCCCUUCUGAAGCCCUUCAGCAGGGUCAGGGCUGAGGCCUGGGGUCAGGGCCCCUCACCUUCUCCCUUUUGCCCAGAGCCAUCUUCCCAGCCCAUCAUCCUGAUCAUGGGCAUCAUUGCUGGCCUGGCUGUCCUAGGAUCUGUGAUCACUGGACCUGUGGUCGCUGUUGUGAUGUGGAGGGGGAAGAACUCAGGUGGAAAAAGAGGGAGCUACUCUCAGGCUGCGUGCAGCGACAGUGCCCAGGGCUCUGAUGUGUCUCUCACAGCUUGUAAAGCCUGAGACAGCUUUCUUGUUUUGGGACUAAGAUUCAGGAUUUCUUCACAACUCUCUCUAUGACUUCAAGAGCCUCUGGCAUCACUUUCUGCAAAAACAUCUGAAUUUGUCUGCAUUCCUGUUAGCAUAAUGUGAGGAGGUGAAGAAACAGCCCAGCCGUGUCCACCGUGACCGCUGUCCCCACGCUGAACCUAUGUUCCCUCCCUAGUCAUCUUUCCUGUUCCAGAGAGGUGGGGCUGGGCAUCUCCAUCUCUGUCUCAACUUCAUGGUGCACUGAGCUGCAACUUCUUACUUCCCUACU